rnacentral:rRNA from 1 species
UGAUAUUUAUAGCAUAAUGGACCCACUCCAAUCCAUCCCGAACUUGGUUGUUAAACAUUAUAGCGACGAUGAUACUUAAGGGGGAGCCCUUUGGAAAAGUAGUUCAAUAUCAGGGCU